GAUGAACGCUGGCGGCGUGCUUAAUACAUGCAAGUCGAACGGACAGGCGCUGCUCUUGCGGGGCUCUCGUUUGGCGAACGGGUGAGUGACACGCGAGUAUCCCCCACUUGUCUUUGGGAUAUCUCUUCGAAACUGGGGCUAUUAUCCGAGAGAAGCUCUUGCUGCGCGGGGGGGGUUGGUAAGAUUCGGCGGUUGGGGAUCGUCUCGAUGCUUAUCAGCUUCUUUGUGAGGUAGUGGAGUUCCAAGGUUAUGACGGCUAGCCGGCCUGAGAGGGGGAACGGCCACAUUGGGACUAAGAGACGGACCAGACUGCUACGGGAGGCAGAAGUGGGGAAUAUUACGCAGUGAGCGGAAGCGUGAUGCAGCGGCGCCGCGUGCGGGAAAACGGCCUUCGAGUUGUAAACCGCUUUCGCAUGAGACGAGGCGUGCGUGACGGUAAUGGGUAAAGAAGCACCGGCUAACUACGUG
rnacentral:rRNA from 1 species